AUUGAACGCUGGCGGCAUGCUUUACACAUGCAAGUCGAACGGUAACAGGGUGCUUGCACCGCUGACGAGUGGCGAACGGGUGAGUAAUGCGUCGGAACGUGCCGAGUAGUGGGGGAUAACGCAGCGAAAGUUGUGCUAAUACCGCAUACGUACUGAGGUAGAAAGUGGGGGACCUUCGGGCCUCACGCUAUUCGAGCGGCCGACGUCUGAUUAGCUAGUAGGUGAGGUAAAGGCUCACCUAGGCGACGAUCAGUAGCGGGUCUGAGAGGAUGAUCCGCCACACUGGGACUGAGACACGGCCCAGACUCCUACGGGAGGCAGCAGUGGGGAAUUUUGGACAAUGGGCGAAAGCCUGAUCCAGCCAUGCCGCGUGUCUGAAGAAGGCCUUCGGGUUGUAAAGGACUUUUGUCAGGGAGGAAAUCCCUAGUGCUAAUAACACUGGGGGAUGACAGUACCUGAAGAAUAAGCACCGGCUAACUACGUGCCAGCAGCCGCCGCCG
rnacentral:rRNA from 1 species